CUGCCUACGGGGGGCAGCAGUGAGGAAUAUUGGUCAAUGGGAGAGAUCCUGAACCAGCCAAGCCGCGUGAGGGGAGACGGCCCUAUGGGUUGUAAACCUCUUUUGUCGGAGAACAAAACCCGGGACGAGUCCCGGACUGCGUGUAUUCGAAGAAAAAGCAUCGGCUAACUCCGUGCCAGCAGCCGCGGUAAUACGGAGGAUGCGAGCGUUAUCCGGAUUUAUUGGGCUUAAAGGGUGCGUAUGCGGUCCGUUAAGUCAGCGGUAAAAUUGCGGGGCUCAACCUCGUCGAGUCGUUGAAACUGGCA
rnacentral:rRNA from 1 species